UCCGCGUUGGUUCGGCCGGAGGCAGCGCCGCGCCUUAGUGGCGUGGGGCUGCCUCCGGUGCCGGGCGGUCGGCGUCCGUUGCGGCGGCGCGGGC
rnacentral:tRNA from 1 species